GAGGAAUGUGGCCCAAUACAGACUGUGGCUUUCCCCUGAGGCAAGGGGCUAGACUUUGGUGCUGCAGUGGGCCACGAGAGCAGGUGAAGACUGAGGACUCUGGAUACCCCCAGAAGGGGCAAGAACCGAGUGGGGCACAGCUGGAGGACUGUGUCCAGAAGAGGAUGCCGCAAACCAGGGAGCAAUGCGGGUCCCAGACACACAGCAGAGCAGACAACGGGUGAGACACCACCUGCAGAGGGCACUCCAUAGCUGGACAGAGCUAAUUCCUGGAGCAACCAGCAGGAGGCACUGACUGCAACUUGUUACAGAAUGAUAAAGGAGAAUCCAUCCUCAACAUACAGGAUUCUGAAGACUAUCCACCUUAGAGAUCACCAUCACUUUCUGUAGUUUCAGAGGUAUCUGCCAAUGAGAGUGUUUCAGUCACAUCAUGUAUAUCACCUAUAGCAAAAAGAAAAAACUCAAUCAUCCAGAAACAACCAUAGAUAAGUUUGUGAUAAGAACCAGCAGAUUACAAAGAGGUAAUUGAUGAAAAAAUUGCCCAGUUUCUUUAUGCAACAAACUCUCCUUUCUGUAUGAUUGAGAACCCAUGCUUCAUUAACAUGAUUCAGUCAUUAAUACCAGGAUACAGUCCACCCAACAGAGCAGAUGUCACAGGCAAACUGCUGGAUAAAGUGUAUGAAAGAAAUUGAGCAGUGUGCAAAAGGUCUAGGGGAUGAAAUUGUUAACCUGAGUCUUGAUGGGCACAGCAACAUUCAAAGAUUCUGUUGUAUGUGCUUGUGUGACAACAGAAGAAGGGAAUGUAUCAAUUGUUUCUGUAAGGAAGACAUCAGGAAAUGCACAUGUAGCAGAAUACUUACAAGAAGCAGUAGUAAAAGCUAUAAAAUUGGGGUGGGGGGGAAAUCAAAUGUCUAGUAUGCAGCUUGGUCAGACAAUGCUGCAAAUGUAUCCAAGAUGUGAAGAAAUUAUUUAGACAAGAGUGAAGAGUCCCAAGCUAAUAACAUACGGUUGCAGUGCUCAUUUGAUGCACCUCCUAGCCAAAGACUUCAGUGUUCUAGAAAUAAAGGCAAUGUUGUCAAAAUUGAAAAAUACACUUUGCAGCAGCUGCUCUGAAAAAAGUGGGAGGAACCAAGCAACUCUCCCACGAGAUGUGCACUGGAACGCAGUAGUGGACUGUUUUGAGCACUAUAUCAAGAACUGGCUUUAUCUGAUGAGUUUGUGAACAAAAUAGAUGGCAGUCACAGCCAAAGUUUUCAACAUUGGGCUUAAGAGAAACGUUUAACACAUGCUAACUACCCUGAAGCUUAUUUCUAUAGUCUUGAACAAAAUGCAGGGAAAUGGCUGUUUUAUUGCUGAUGCUGUUGAAAUUUGGAAGGAACUGAGUGAGAUCUUAAAGAAAUAUGCAAUGACAGAGUUAAAUUACAAGCAUAAAAAAAAUGAAUGGGACAAGCACUCUCUCUAGCUCAUUUUCUUGCAAUGAUUCUCAAUACUCGGUACGAGAGUCAAACCUUAACUGCUGAAGAAGAGUUGGCUAUGACAUGGACAUCCAGUAGUCAUCCCUCCAUAAUGCCAACUAUAAAACUUCAGAGCUAAAGGUGAACCAUUCAAGAAAUAUGUUUGCUGAUGAUAUUUUAAAAGAAAGUCACACCAGUGAACUGGUGGACGUCACUUAAGCGCUUGGAUUCAGACUGUUGAAGUGAUCUCACUUUUAACAGCAGUAGCUUCUGCCAGUGUAGAAAGAAUAUUUUUUCUUUUGGACUAAUUCAUUCCAAAUUGAGAAAUUGUUUGGGCUCUGAAAAAGCAGAAAAGCUUGUUUUUUCUUGUUCAGAUUAUGAACAAACUGAAAAAUGAAGGUGAAGCCGCUUGAGUUAGCUGCAGAAACCAAUAUUUUAAGUUUCUCAUGUUGACCUGAUUAAAAUAGUUGACUUUUGUUUAAACAAAAGUCAACUAUUUUAGUUAACUUUAAAAUAAGGUUAGCUUUUGUUAAACAACUUGAAUGUUUAAAUUCAUAUGCUUGUUUUGUUAAAACUUCAUUUGCUGUUGAAGAAAAAAAUCCAGAAUACAUAAUGUUUUUAGUUAAAUAAAACAAUUUAAAUGUCUGGUGAUGUUCUCCUCCUAUACAGCAUGGCAAGAAAAUCCUCCAAAUAUUAAUGAUAGAUAUUUAUGAAGUCAUUGGGAGGUGAACUAUUUCAACCAUUCAUUUUCCUGAUAUAGCUGUAAAACUUAUCUGAAAAGUUUUCAAAAUAAAUCACUUUAAAAAGUAUGUGUACCUGCUAAAAAUGAAACCUAAAUCUGAAUUGUGAAGAAUAUGUACAGCCACCAAGAAUGCACUUUUAUGUAAAUCUAGGAUUAAAUAGAGUCUUCCUGACUAGUGAUUUAAAUGGAUUUGAUUUUUAAAUCAAAUCCACUCUGGGAAAAGAGCCACAAAAAUGAUUCUACAGCUGGAGAAAAUGUGUUGGAGGGAGAGACCUAAAAAGUUCAGUCUAGUUAGUUUACUAAAAAGAUUGAGAGGUGUCUGAUUAGUGUGCAAGUACCUUCAUGUGGCAAUACUGGGUACUAAAGGGCCCUUGAACCCAAUACUGUAAACAAAGACAUAACAAGAACCAUUGGCUGGAAGCUGAAGCCAGAUAAAUUCAAAUUAGGCACAAAUUAACAUUGAGAAUGAUUAACCAUUGGAACAAAUUACCUAGGGAAGUGGUAGAUUCUCUAUUUCACACCAAGAGUAUAUGCUUUUCUGGAAGAAAGGGCAUGCAUAGGAAUUUUAAUUGUACCACUUUUGGAGGAGCACCAGUGGGGGAUACAGAACUCUGGUGGGGGAAAGAGGGGCAAACUCCUCCAGCUCCAGGGCUUUGGUGAGGGGCGCAGAACUCCUCUUGUUGCUGGGUGGUGGCAGGGAAAGCGGAGCUCCUCUCCCUCAAGGCUGCUGCAGGGAGAGCAAGAGACACCCUGGGACUGUAGCAGGGAGAGCAAGAGAGCUCCUCUCCCCAGGGCUGUGGCAGGGAGAGCACACUUCCUGCCGCAGCCCAGGGGCUGGAGAAGUUCACUCUUCUGCCACGACUUGUUAUGCCCCUUGCUGGGCCCCAGGGCCGGAAGGAUUGUCCCCUGGUGAUUAUUGGGGGGGGGGGGGGGGAGGAAGGGGGAGCCUAUGCCCCUGUUUGCGCCCACUUGUGCAUGCCCCUGUCUGGAAGAUAUACUAUAGUCAGACACUAGUUAUUGGACUCAAUACAGGAAUAACUGGAUGCAAUUCUGUGGCCUAUCAUGACAUACAGGCUAGAUGAUCCAGUGAUUCCUUCUGGUCUUAAAUCUAUGAAAAUCUUUUACUGUCCCUCUGCAUGCACAUCUAUACCACAGUUUCCAUCUGCAUGUGGAUAUUUGGUUGUCAGGAUUACAGGAUAAGAGACAGCAUCAAAUCAUGCAGGAACUCCCUUCUGUGCAAAACAGGGCCUUAGACCACUAAUUAUUAGGACUUAAAAUGUAGGGUGUCAGUGAUCAGCAGCAACAAUUGCUUAAUUAAUUUUUUUCAUAAGAAACAGCAACUUUAUUCUACAAUUUCAUUGUGAACAAGAUGCAACGGUGUAUAUCAAUUGAGUAAUAGGUAUUUCAUUAUUCAUUACACUUGCAAUUAAGUCUGAUACAGAAAUUGUCAGACUUUAUCCUCAACUAUUUCUAGAAGGUUUUUCUGUACAUGACAACAAGUACAUUGAAAACAGAUGCAUUUUUGGUUGUUACAGCAAAGCACUGAAUUGCAUUUUUUUGCUUCAAAUAUCGAUCACCGACUUCCAAGAAUGAAGUGUCACUUAUCUCCGGAAAAACCCUUCAUCUGCCUUCUCUGAAGCUCUCUUCCACAUAACUUGAAUAUAGCAUUAAUAUUUACCAGAGUGAAUUGAUUUAAUUCACUGACUUUAAUUAUAAUAUAAAUCUGCGAGUAGGAAACCUUACAUAACUGAUUUUAGUCUUGUUUUGCAUUUGUGCGAUUUAUUUUCCUAAAGCAAGGCUGAUUCACAUUUAAUGAUUAGACAUUCAAGUAUGUUGAUUUGCAAUUAAAUAUAACCUUUACAAUUAAGUUCGUACUUUUUGCUAAUCAAGGGAUACUCUUUGCACAUUAAAGCAAUUAUAAAGCUUAAUGUACACUUAUUCAGACUCUUAAUUUUUACUCUUAUUAGAAAAUGGUGAAUGUUGCAUUUAGAUUGUUCGAGUUUUUACUUACGAUUUAUGUCAAGCUCCACUUGGAUGGAAACUGGAAUUCCAUUAGCAAUGUCCAAAAACCAUCAUUUAAUUUUCUUUAGUUGAAUAAAAUUACCUUAAAUGUGCUGAAUAUGUAAAGGAGGGGGAAAGUUACAGUUUUUGGUCACCAUGUCCUUCAAGACUUUAGAACAAGUAGAUUUCAUCUUCACAAAUAGUUUUUAUUCAUGGAUUGGAAGAUGAAGCUUUUCUGAUUUCUCAACUCCAAACUGGUGUCAUAACUUUGAAUGAAAAAGUCAAUGAACCGAACUAGUUUAAACUAGUUUGCUGCACCUCCAGAAGAGACUAAGGCUCUCAAAAGCUGGUUUAGGAAUUCAGACUAUCACAGGUGCUUAGUGACUUCCAGCAGUUCAGUGCUGUGAAGUUUUGAAGAAAGUCUGCAGCAAAUGUUAAGCUGAACGUAUUUUUUCAUUUAAUUUAAAUUUUGAUAGAUUAUAGUAAAUCUAUGCCUUAACGUAGGCUUUGUUUUGUAAAAAGAAAUAUCCAUUUAAUUUAAAUUGUCAGUUAAAAUCAUUUUAUUCCCUGAUAUUUAAAAUGUCAAAUUGAAUAAUUUAAGAGGUUAUCAACUUUAUUUUCAUAAAUGUAAGUGUUUAUUAAAGGUACAAAGUUGUUCGAUAACAUACAACUCUGGGAAUCAUUUUGUAUGUUUCCACAAACUUGGUCAAACUAAGGGUUGGCAUUUCUGUGAUGGAAUUUUUCAAUUAAUAAGGAAGUGAAGGUAUUCCAGCUACAUAUGAAGAGUUCUCCAAAUUCCUUGAAAAGGAUAGUACACCAAACCACAUCGCUACUGUACAAAUGUCGUAACACUAAAGACUGGUUCAACUAAUUGUAGUCUAUUGGAAUAAGGUAGUAAUCCUAAAUAGUUUGAGAGCCCUCCAGCGCAAUCACUGUGUUUUAGAAGCUGUCAGAGCAACAAUAUACAUUAAACUAGGUCUUAGAAUGUUAUGUAGUUAAUAAAAAUGAUAUUUGGUAACUGUGCCCCUGUUCUCAUGUUUGUGUUGUAAUGAGCAAAGGAGACAACACUAAUCCUACUAUAUCUCUUUAUAUUUGUAACAAAUUUUGAUAAAUGUAGCCAUUUUUCCUGGUCUUAAUUUGUCCAAGAACAAACCAGGGUUGCUAUAGACCAGUGAUACUCAGACUGAGGCUCACAAGCAGCUCUUUGUGUCUCCUGUGACUCUUUGCAGCACAUGUUAAAACACUGAUUUUAAUUAUUAGCCAAUCAGAAUGCUUUAGCUAUGUUAUUUAUCACUUGUAGUUUAUAAAAUAACUUGAUCAUUUUGCUGUGAGAAUUUUUAUAUAUUCCCUGUCAUACUGUUUAAAUAUGAAUAUAUAUUACUAUAACAAAUGAAACCGUGAAUUCACACUA